rnacentral:lncRNA from 10 species
AAAAAAAAAGAAGAGUCAAUUGAUGUGGCAAACUUAUUAUUGUCUUGUUUUAUGAAACUGCCACAGCCAUCCCAAGCUUCAGCAAUCACCACCUUGAUCAGUCAGCAACCAUCAACAUUGAGGCAAGACCCUCCACUGGCAAAAUGAUUAUGACUCACUGAAGGAACAGAUGAUUAUUUGCAUUUUUAACAAUAAGGUAUUUUUAACUAAGGGAGAAAAGGAGGUCUGAGAACUGAAGCCAUCUACAACCACAGAGCUAACUGCACCAGUGUGACUUUACUAUCCCAUGAAAAUCUUGUCUGUGAAGAUGAAGUUGAAAAUGUCUCAGGAACUUACUGCAAAUCCAUUUAUUCAGAUAAUAGACCACUCAACCAGCCCUCAUAGAGUUUAUAGCCCUUCUUAGGACAAUAGACUAUUCAACUAGGCUCAUUAAACAACUCUUUACAUUUUAAGACUUGCUUCCAAAGCCUCCUCUUACUGUAUUUACCAAUCCUAAACUGUUAUGUCACUAAUUUGCUCAAUCCCAAUUAGGUCUCCACACUGAAAGCUCCACCUUAAAACAGACCCCUCGGCCGCAUGCAGUGGCUCACGCCUGUGAUUCCAACAGUUUGGGAGGCUGAGGCGGGUGGAUCACCUGAGGUCAGGAGUUCGAAACCAGGCUGGCCAAAAUGACGAAACACCAUCUCUACUGAAAAUACAAAAAAUAGCCAGGCACGGUGGAGGGCACCUGUAAUCCUAGCUACUCGGGACGGUGAGGCAGGAGAAUCGCUUGAACCUGGGAGGUAAGGGUUGUAGAGAGCUGAGAUCGCACCAUUGCACUCCAGCCUGGGUGACAGAGUAAGACUCUGUCUCACAAAACAAACAAACAAACAAACAAACACAGAAAAAACAAAGACCCCUUCCCCUUCUAAAAUUGUAUAAAUAUUUUGCCUUUGUUCUUCUCCCUCCUAGAUAUGAAUAAGACUUUGUUUCCUUUACCAUGGGUGAGCAAAAAAUUCAGCUUUGCUUAAUCAGCAAGUUUUAUUUUGUUGGCAUUUUUGGAGAGUUGACCCUCAACAGCUUGCAUAUGAGAAACUUAUUUACUUACUGAACACCACAUAGCUGUUCAGAUUUAUUUUAGAGGUCAUAAACUCAGAAAGAAGUAGAUCAGAAAGAAGUAGAUCCAGGCUGUAGACCAAUUUUGUUGAGCUUAAAGUGUUAAGUCACUCAUUUAAAAAAACAGAUUAGUAGCUAACAUUUAAAAAAUUGAAAGUUAUAUGUAAAAUCUGGAUUUCUGGCUUUUUUCAAAUACUGAACUGGGCCCGACUUUUCUACAUGGUAAUAAUUGUUAGGUGCUUCAGAUGUAGAGUACCCUUACUGCUUCGGCAUAGUUCUUGCCACUUACUGUUUACAUCUGGCUUGUUCAUUUACAUCAGGGGAUAAAGACUAAAUAUUUUUGGCUUUGAGGACCAUAUGGCCGCUGUCUCAACUACUCAACUCUACUGUUGUAGCAUGAAAACAGCAAAAGGCAAUGUCUAAAUGAAUGAGUGUUGCUGUGUUCCAGUAAAACUUUAUUGAUAGAAGCAGGUCUGAAGGUUACAAUUUGUGAUUCUUGAAUCUGUGUAAUAUGCCUGGCUACAGGCAGCAUUUAAUUUGAAACCAUUGUUUAUGAUUGAACCAAUUCUGGUCUGGCUUUAUGGAGAUGCCUAUUAAUUCUGAAGAGAAAAGGGCUGUAGUGUAAAAUUAACAAAUUGUAUUAGGAGAGUUUAAGUCAAUUAAUUAUGGGACUGCUUUUUCCUAAAAAACAUAACGCAAGAAAGGAAAGCUGUCAUUACAAAUGGCUUGAGAGAAAAGUGAGCAUGAGAGAACAAAGGUCAAAAUGGAGCAGCUUGACCAUAUGUGUUGCUGAUGUGGAAAAUCAGCUGUUUAAAGAAUAUUCAACUAGCAUUUGUAAAUAUCGUAUAUAUGUUAGCAGCUGGUUGUUUCUAAUAUGCAUGAAAAAAUAUAGAUUUGUUUAAAAUUAAUGUUAAAUGUUGAUAUAGCUAGAAAAAUAGAAUCUCUUUCAAUAGCAAACUUUUUGGCCCAUAUAAAUUAUGAUUAGAUUUGUAAAACUUCAAUUUGCAAUGAUUUUUCCAGCAGCAAACUUAGGGCCCAGAGCCAAGAGAUAAUACCAAAUAUUAUCUGAAACUACCAUAUAUUUAACAUUUUCAAAAGGAAUCAGGCCAGGUGCCAUGGCUAACAUCUAUAAUCCCCCCAUGUUGGGAGGCUAAUGUGGGAGGAUUGCUUAAGUCCAGGAGUUUGAGAUCAGCCUGGGUCAUGUAUCAAAACCCCGUCUCUACAAAAAGAAAUGAAAGUAGCCAGGCAUGGUGGUAUGUGCCUGUAGUACCAGCUACUCAAGAGGCUGAGGCAUGAGGAUUGCUUAGUCCAGGAGUUUGAGGCUGCAGUGGGCUAUGAUGGUGCCACGGCACUCCAGUGUGGGUCUCUAAAAAAGGAAUCAAUUUGUUCCAAUUAUCAUAACCAAAAUAGUGAUAAUAAUAAUACAUUAUUGUUACUCUUAGAAUCCACAAAACAAAUUACAGAAUUCUUCAAAAUUAGCCAAAAUAAAAUGGAAAUCUUUUGAAUUGUGAAUGUAAAAAUAUAUAUUUUUAAAACUUGUUAAUUCAUAAUUCACUAAUUCACUCCUUUGGAAAUUCUGAAACAGCUGGGAUAAAAUCAAUAUUUGGCUAGAGGUGAAAAUGACUUGGUAAGAAAUGCUUGUGUAUUUACAAGUUUAAGUACAUUUCUCUUUAAUUGCAUUGGUGAUUUUGUGGCAUUCUCAGUUGCAUUGCUAGUCUUUCUAAACAAGAGGCACAUUUUUGCUGCCUUAAUUUCUUCUCCACCAAUUUUUCUUUUAGCCUCUUAAAAAGUAGUUUCUAUUCCCACCACUCCAUUCAAGCUCUUCUCAAGAAGGCCACUUUCUAGCCUUCUUAUUUAUACGUUUAUUAAUCUUUUGUCAAUUCUCUUUUUCCUGAAUCUCUCUGCUGGAUCCCUGAAGUUUUUGCCAUCUUAACCUUUUACAACCAGUAAGUUGCUGUUAUUCUUUCAUCAUUUCAGCACCCUCUUUUGUUGACUCUAUUCUUUCUUCUACAGUCUAGCUAAGUACUCUUCAAGUAUCCAUCUUUGGCUGCUGGUCUCCACUCUCUUUUACUCUUGUCCUUGAGAAUCUCAAGGACUUCAAACCCUCUCUAUUGAUUUACAGUAUUGUCCUCUUGCAAAGGCUACAUUCCUUUAUUUCUGCUUUCUGGAAAUGUCCAUAAUUAUUGCUAUAAAGAACAGGAGCAUCGUAACUAAUAUAAGCCAGAUGACAUUUUUUCUUCCCUCUUGCUAUAUGAGAAUGGUGGAUAUUGAAAUUAUGUGCACCAUUCCUAAACAAGAUGGUAAAAAUAUCACUGUGCCCCUUUUCUGUAUGAUGUUUACCUGCUUGCACUGAUGGAGGUAAAUUUAAUUUAUAGAUUACCUGUUUGGAAUUAUUUUAUUUAGACCCUGUUCAUAUAUUGGUUUAUCUAGGAUGUAGUGGGAAUAAGCUGUAUCUAAAUGCAUAUUUUUUGUCCCUAGAAAAAUAAUAAAGAGAGUUAUGACAGUGUUUGGAGUUUUGGCCAGGAAGUUACUGCAGUCUCAGAUGCAGGGGGCAGGGAUAUCCCUUUCCUAAUCCACCAGUUUGAGAUACAGGUAUUCCAGGAUUGUAGAUGCUUUCAACUUCAGUCAGGAGGUCAAAGCAAUGGAAAAAUGUAGUUUUUACAUUGUGUUUAAUAAAGAAUGAUGUAGUUUCUGCAUUGUACUUAAUAGGAAGUAAAAAAACAUGCCAAUUUAAAAGGCUGAAAUUUAAAAAUUUCUCAGUACAACUACAAAAAUAUGAAUUUUGUCUAGCACACUAGAGAAUGUAGUAUGCUACCUUCUUACCAAAUCUAAAAUAGAUACAUUGCCAGUAUAACAGUCUCAUUAUAUCUAAAAUCCAGUUUAUCCUUUUUUUCUUUUUUCAAAAUUAUGCCUCUGUGUUACUUCUCCCUGGCUAUCCACCAACCAUUCUUUUCCUAACUAAAGCAGUGAAUAAUAAUACAUAUUAUGAAAACAUAAUAAUGAAAACAACACUUAAUAAAUGCAUUCACUUUUCCAGAUACUGUUCUAAGUGUUUAAGUCUCAUCAAAACCCUUUGAGGUCAGGAAAUAUUUAUUAUUAUCCCACUUUAUAAAUGACAUUUAAGGUGAAAUGAUACGCUGAAGAUAAUAUGAGUGUUAUACAAUAGAGCUGAGAUACAAACCCAGCCAAUCUUACAUCACAUACAAGCUUCUCUUAACUAUUCAAAAUAUGGCCUCUCAAAACACCAGGUCACCCUUGGAAGAUCAUUUAGUCUAUUGAAAAGUUCAGGCGGGUACUGCCUGUGUUAAUUUGAGUUAAAAUCUAGCUCCAUUGUUUUCAUGCUGUGUGACCCCAAACUAAUCCUUAAACUUCAAGUUAAUUACCUAUUAACUGUAACUAAUUAUUCCAGCUUUAUGGAUGUCUUUAAAAGCUUGAUUUAAUUAUUCCACAAUGUAAACAUAUAUCAAAUCAUCACAUUGUACCACAUAAAUAUAUAACAUAUACCAUUAUUGUCAAUUAAAAAUUAAAAAAACAAUUAAAUCACAUAAUUUUUUUUAAGUACUUGGGGAAAAAGGAACUUGGAAUAUAGCCAUUUAACCAGUGUUGGUUUUCUUCAUAUCCUACAAUCCACGUAUCUAAUUAGUUGCCAAGUUCUGUUGAAUACGUAGAUCAUUACAAUGUAUUUCAUACUCAUUUCUUCUUUUCAAUCAUUAUAUCCUUAUUGCAAAUAAAAUAAAAACAUCUUCAAUGGCUCUCCACCCUGGACAUUACUGAUUCUGUAUUCUGUCAUUCAGUUUUCCUCAUUGUCUGGUCCUGAAUUUAUUUCAUUAACCUAUUUCCUAUGGCUCCCCCAGUGAACCCUCUAUUCCAUUUGGGCUGGAAUGUGCUUCUGUUAUUCACCAUCCAAAUGUGUUUAUGUGAGCUCCAUCUCAAUGCCUUGAUUACAUUGUGACCUCUGUUUUCUGUAUCCCAGAAACAAUACUGUAUACAGGACAUUAGGAAAAAGAAAGAGCAUUUUCUCCUCCAUUUUCUGGUUAUAAACUCCUUUGUUGGGGAACUUGGAAGUCCUUGCUAUGGUCUCAGAUUUUAGAACAAAAGCCAGUGACAAAGCUAAGUCAACCAAGGUGUUAAUUGGGUUUUAAAAUCUAUUAAACAACUUGGUUCUAUUUUUCACAUCAGAAAUGUACAGAUACCCUCUUCAGCAUAAAACUGAAAACUGCCUUGGAAGGGAAGAGAACGGAAAAUUAGAAUUUCAAACUAUAUUCUUACCCUACCUCAAUCUUUAAUUUUAAGGUAAUCAUGGAGAAAAAUAAGGAGGUAAAUUAUGCAAGCAAAUGCAACAAUGCAGCUGUUUUAAAAAAUAUAUUCUACAAUUCAAAUUUCUACUAAUUGAGGUUAGCCUUCCUCCCAAUAAAAUUAAUGAACAUUGCUCCUAGUUUGCUGGGCAAUAAAUGGUGUAGGAAUGGGGGAGCUGAUGGCCAUGACUUGGUGCAGGUAAGAUAAAGCAAUUGUUACUGGAAAUAUUAGAUUUACUCAAAUAUUAUGGAAAAUUCAGGUAUUAAGACAAAACAGCUGGGUCUGCAGAGGUGUGGAUUGUUUUAGUAGUAGUCACAAGUUGUUGAGAAUUUGGGAAUAAGCUAAAUCUUGAUCAAUUUAAUCACAUUUUUAACUUUCUUGCAAAAAAGACAUAGACAUUCUAAUGUAAUCUUUUUCAAAGGACAGUCUUUUUAUAAAGCAAAGACAUUGUGUAGAAUUUUUCAUGCACAAAUGUAGAUUUCUGCCUAUUGACUCUGCCUCAAGAAAGUUACGUUAGUUCUAGAAUCUGUCAUGUUUUUCAAAGUCAUGUUAAAUUGGAUCCUUGGCACUUCUUCCUCAAUCCCCCAAAAUGUGCUUGAACCUGAACAGGUUUCUUCCCAUAAGUGAACAGGCCAUAAACAAUUAAUAUAUUCUAGUGAAAAUAUCAUUUUAGUGACCCAGGGUGAUGCAAAUAUUAUUGCUUAGGAUUUAUUUUCUCUCCCAGUUCUUUCUUCGCUGUAUUUUGAGGCAGGGCAAUAUUAUCUAUAACUUUAGAUUUCCAGUGAUGACAGAAUCUAAUAAAAGAGGAACAGAGUAUUUGGUAAUUAUGUCAACUUCAAAGUCAAAAAGUUAUAGCAAAUGAGUAAGAAAUGAAGGCUCCUAUCCAGAACCUGCUUUAAAGCUGGAAUUAAUAUUGAUGUUUCUCCAAGCACAAAUACUGAGAAUAUGGAUUACAGAAAAUGAUGUCUGAGAUGAAGAUUUUAUGUUUGAAGAAUACGACUGAUACUAACGACCAUGUAAAUACAUUUUUAAAGUCAGUCAGUCAAUUUAGAGUAGAUGUCGUUGCUGUGAGUCUCUUUGAACUAUUCAUGUUUGGGAAGUUUGGAUUCAAGUCAGUGAACCUGAGUCCAACCCCUAAUCCUAACGCCUCUUAACUAGAUAACUAGUCCUUAUCUAGGACUAUUAGACAAGUUAUGAUGCUUCUCUUAACCCCAGGUUUCUUGGCAGCACAAUGAGGAUAAUAACAGUGCCUGCCUUAUAGGGUAAUGGGGGAUGUUUGAAUGGUAAUAUAUGUAGAAAAUAUUUUUCAAACUCUAAACCCUAUUAUUUAGAUUUUUCAUUAGUAAAAUAGUUUGAGUCAUUUUGGAAAUAUCACCAACUGUCAGUAAAUGUUACAUUUACAAUCUCCCAUCUAGAAAAUAAUUUCUUACUUGCUCCUCUGUUUCUAGUUUGUCCCAUUUAAAUUCACCACUUAACCUACUGCCAGGGUGCUCUUUCUCCCUCCCCUUCCUCUGACCCCUACUCCUCCUUUUCCUCCUUCUUCUCUUUUUUCUUUUCUUGCUUCUCUUCCUUCUUCUCCUUUUUCACUUUCUCUUCCUUCCCCUCUGCUUCUAAUAUUGUAAAUAUUAUAAGUAGAGUUAAGGAGGAUUAUAUAACAGACAUUUAUUUUCCCCCACUUAUUUUAUCAGAUCUUAAUAUUUUACUGUAUUUUCUUCAGAACUUUAAUAAGCUAAAACAUUUCAAUUGAAGCCAAUUGUAUCUCAUUCACUCUCUACUUAGAGGCAACUGCCAUCAUGUCUUAGUUGAAAGGAGGCUAAAAAUUCCAUCACUGUCACUUACUAUCUGUAUAACAAGACAAAUUACUUUAUCUGUGCUUCGGUUUUCUUAUCUAUGAACUUGGAGUAAUAAUGAUAAAUAUCGCCUCGAGUGGCUGUUGUAACUAAAUGAUAGAAUUAAACAUCUGUAAAUCAUUCACAACAGUGCAUGACACUUAUGAGACUCAAAAAAUGUUAUAAUUACUGGUAGCUGAUGUAGUAGAUGCAUCAUGAAUUUUGGUGUUUUAUCAUUCUCACGUAUAUUUUUGUAACUCAUAUAUUUGUGUAUCUUACAUAGUGAAAAUAUGCAUUUUUUAAUAACUUGGCAUAAUUGGCAUCGCAUAUAUGUAUCAUUUUACAAUGUCCUUGUCUUGUUCAACGUUAGGUUUUUGAGAUUUAUUUAUGUUGUUAAUUACAUUUUUAGCUUAUUUAUUUUUACUACUUUACAGUGCUUAAUGACAUUAUAUAAACAUACCACCAGUUAUCUAUUGUCUUGUAAAUGGAUAUUUGAGUUGUUUCUAAUUUUUUGGUUGAUGCAAAUAAGGUUACAAUAAAUAGCAUUAGUUGUGAAGCCUUUAUUACAUGUAUUGAAGUUUUCAUACAGACUAUGCUUGCAAGUGG